UACGGAGGGUGCAAGCGUUAUCCGGAUUCACUGGGUUUAAAGGGUGCGUAGGAGGGCAGGUAAGUCAGUGGUGAAAUCUCCGAGCUUAACUUGGAACUGCCGUUGAUACUAUCUGUCUUGAAUACCGUGGAGGUGAGCGGAAUAUGUCAUGUAGCGGUGAAAUGCUUAGAUAUUGGGAGGAACACCAGUGGCGAAGGCGGCUCACUGGACCGGAACUGACGCUGAGGCGCGAAAGCGUGGGGAGCAAACAGG
rnacentral:rRNA from 1 species